ACUGUUUUAGUCGUCCGAACGGAGAGACGCAUGUUUCUCAGGACUUUUGUCUACAGUAAACACGAGUGUCUGACUGUUGUGCGGGCAUUGCAAUUCGUGCGUGCUCCAGCAAAAUUCGAGGGAGAGAGGGAAGACGACACGCUGUUGAAGGAAGAGGGAAGACGACACGCUGUUGAAGGAAGAGAGGGAAGACAACGCGCUGUUGAAGGAAGAGAUGCUGUUGAUUUGAACCUGCACUGCCAGAAAACGGGAUAAUACAUCUAGCUGAGGAUCUACCUACCUGAACAAGACCACCCAUCACCACCAUGUCAAAGGACCAGUGUGAAUCCAUAGCAGUGAGCGUCGAGUCCCUUUUAACCAACGCAGUGAACAUGCAGUCCCAGUGCCGGGAGCGUAGUGAGCAGCUAGCCAUGACCGCCACCGCACUUAGGGAGGAGUCGGCGUGCUUGAGAGAACAGUGUCAAGUCACCCAGCUGGAUAUGGCCCAGAUGAGAAGACAGCUAGAACAACUGUCGGAUAGCAAGGCUCAGAUGGAGGCCAGUGAUAGAAUGCACCGCAAACUCAGCAAGACACUCUAAAGGGAAAGGAGGGGAGAGAAGGAGAGUGAGAAAAUCAGAACGGCUGGCUAACAAGGCUCCGAUGGAGAUCCGGGAUGGUAAACUUAGUAGUUAAAAUGUAAAAAAAAAAAAAAAAUGUCUCCUGUUCUCUAACGCUAUCUAGCUCCUGUCCCUAAACAAUAGACUUUAUGCCUAAUAAGCCAUUAUUAUGCUAGCUAUAUAGGCUUUCACUUCUCUUCACGAAGAUUGAAUGAUUAUGGGUCUGAAUAAAUAGCUGCUAUAGCCUACCGUCAUCGCUCAUUCGCGUUUCUUUCAAAACUACGCGCGAUUCCUUUUGGCUGCUGUAUUUAACAUUCGGCAGAAAAGAGCUUGGAUCCUUCUUCCAAUAGUCUAUUGUUAUAAGAAAUGCUAACAAAAAUAAAAUAAUAAUAAUAUCCAGCAA